rnacentral:rRNA from 1 species
UACGUAGGGUGCAAGCGUUGUCCGGAAUUACUGGGCGUAAAGGGCUCGUAGGUGGCCAACUAAGUCAGACGUGAAAUCCCUCGGCUUAACCGGGGGAACUGCGUCUGAUACUGGAUGGCUUGAGUUUGGGAGAGGGACGCGGAAUUCCAGGUGUAGCGGUGAAAUGCGUAGAUAUCUGGAGGAACACCGGUGGCGAAGGCGGCGUCCUGGACCAACACUGACACUGAUGAGCGAAAGCCAGGGGAGCAAACGGG